AGCAUCCUGAGGUGUUAGUAGGAUACUAUAAGUUUUGAGCCAACAUUUUUAAUAAGGGAGCCUGAAGUUUUAGUUUGGCGUGCAAGCCUUCUCGAGAGGAAGUACUAAGAAAUAAACAAGGCACCCACCUGCCGAGGCAGGUUCAAAACUAUGUGUUUUACGGCAUUUUGGGGCUCUA
rnacentral:other from 1 species